rnacentral:rRNA from 1 species
AUGAACGCUGGCGGCGUGCCUAAUACAUGCAAGUCGAGCGAACGGACGAGAAGCUUGCUUCUCUGAUGUUAGCGGCGGACGGGUGAGUAACACGUGGAUAACCUACCUAUAAGACUGGGAUAACUUCGGGAAACCGGAGCUAAUACCGGAUAAUAUUUUGAACCGCAUGGUUCAAAAGUGAAAGACGGUCUUGCUGUCACUUAUAGAUGGAUCCGCGCUGCAUUAGCUAGUUGGUAAGGUAACGGCUUACCAAGGCAACGAUGCAUAGCCGACCUGAGAGGGUGAUCGGCCACACUGGAACUGAGACACGGUCCAGACUCCUACGGGAGGCAGCAGUAGGGAAUCUUCCGCAAAGGGCGAAAGCCUGACGGAGCAACGCCGCGUGAGUGAUGAAGGUCUUCGGAUCGUAAAACUCUGUUAUUAGGGAAGAACAUAUGUGUAAGUAACUGUGCACUUCUUGACGGUACCUAAUCAGAAAGCCACGGCUAACUACGUG